rnacentral:rRNA from 1 species
UGGGGAAUAUUGCACAAUGGGGGAAACCCUGAUGCAGCGACGCCGCGUGAGCGAUGAAGUAUCUCGGUAUGUAAAGCUCUAUCAGCAGGGAAGAAAGUGACAGUACCUGACUAAGAAGCCCCGGCUAACUACGUGCC